UUGGGUCCAUCGUUUAAAUAAACACGAUCUUAUUGCACAUAGUCUAUAAUUUGUGUUUUACAUUAUAAUUUGGGCUAUCUCAUCAUAUUAUCACACAUUCCUGGAAAAUUAGUAUAGUCAUUAUAGUUUUUAGGUUACUAGUAGAUUCACUGAUUUUUCUUGUUCUACAUUCCUAAUUUCAGUAAUAGAGCCACUGAUUUUCUCAAGUUAUACAUUCCUAAUUUCAGAGAACAGUUUUUAUUUUCUGGUUGAAGCAAAAACAGAGCAGAUACCACUGUUAAUUUUUCCAGGUAAAUCUCUCUCUCUCUCUCUCUCUCUCUCUCUCUCUCUCUU
rnacentral:lncRNA from 1 species